UCUGUUAAAAUUAGGAUGUUUAAACUUGAAAUUGGAAGUUUUAGAGGUGCGAUAACCCAAAAUUGAUUUUACAUUUAUGAUUAGCGUAAUUUUUAGGAGAUAAUAUUAAAUUUUGUAAAAAUUUGAUUCGUAACGAAUUAAUUGGAAAAAUUGGGAUUUCACCCUCUUAAGACUUAUACUAGAUGGAUAUAAAAUAAAUGGAUGACUUAAUAUCUCCUCAAAAAGGGAGAGAAUGUGCUAGAGAAGAAGAGGGAAGAAGGGAGGCUCAACAAGAGUGAGGAUUGAAGGAAUUGAAAAAGGGCUUUGAGACUAGAGUUCAAGGACACAUACAAGAGAGGACCAUCGUUCAACCGCAUCACUGUGAUCAGCCCAUGGGACAACCGUAAGUUAGCCCAUGAGUCUUUUACUGAACCAUUUUGCUGAGCCAUCCGAAGUGACUCUUUGUUUAAUUUUGGAAAAUCGGUGUGUUAGCAUGUUUUGUUGAAAUUAGGAGGAAUAGACAUAUGUAUAUAUACAUUGGCACUACCUAACUUUUGGGUUGUUACUUUUUGUACAUAACAGUAAUGUAAAUGACGCAUAGAAUGUUAUGUACUGAUGUAUGGUACUACGUUAA